AAAAUGAAACUGUUCAAUAUUUUCAUCAGUCGCGUAUUUAUUUCUAUAAUAGAUAGGCAAGUCUCUAAAGGGUACUGCUUCGUGUCUUGUAAUAUUUUUUGCAAGUUAAAGAUUCACAAUGAAGGGGCUUCAUCUGACAUUUAUUUUACUUAUUUGUUACAUUUCGUUAUAUAAUGCAGUAUUGGCGUUCUACCCUGCGCCACAACCUUUUUUGGAUACUAUAAAGGAAUGUACGAAUGCGACGAAUUGUGUAAUAAAUGACUCCGGAAAAGUAAGCAGUAAUAACAACAAGCAAAGCUGAUAUAAAUCUUAGGAAGCGACCAUUCGCGCCCCGGGCGGAGGCACGACAAUGUAACAAACAAGCAAUAAGCUUUCUAAAAAUAAAUAAGUGUGAAAUGUAACA